GUCAGCAUGGCAGAGUGGUCUAAUGCGUUAGACUUGAAUAAAUCAUCCACAUUCAGGUAUCUAAUUCCUUCGGGAGCGUAGGUUCGAACCCUACUGCUGACG